UAAAAAAAAAAAUCGAGUUCUUAAACGAUCAACAUGCUUUAGGAAUCUCUUUUCUUGCAGAGAAAAUGCAGAACCAAAAAUAAAAAAUUAAUAAAAUAAAUAGGAACAAACAAAAUGAGAGCAGCCACACACACACGUUUAUACAUAAACAACAAGAAGUAAAGCUUAAUAAAAACAAAAUUCGAGUGCCGCAACAAAAUUGGCAAUUUAUUUUGAAGAAAAGAAAAUCCAAGAGUUUCUAUUUGGUUGGUGAGAAAAUGAAAAGAAGAAAAUAUCAACUACGACUUGCCAAGUGAAAGCAAAGCGUAACAGAGAGAACAGGAAAUGAAGAGCUUACCUUAAUUUAGAAAAGAAAAAGAGAAAUAUCGAGAGGAGGACAAAGGUAGAGG
rnacentral:misc_RNA from 1 species